ensembl:lncRNA
UAAUGAUCAAUUAGCCUUUUAAAAUUAUAAACUUGGAUUAGCUAACACAACGUGCCAUUGGAACACAGGUGUGAUGGUUGCUGGUAAUGGAUAAAUAAUUUGAUGUUAUUUUAAUGGACAAAAAAAUGUGCUUUUAUUUAGAAAACAAGGACAUUUCUAAGUGACCCCAAACUUUUGAACGGUAAUGUAUGUAUGUGUGUGUGUGUGCAUGUGAGAGGGGCAGGAAAGGGGCAGGAAGGGUUGGUGAGGGGUGCGUGAACAGGGUGGUAUUGGGGAGAUGUGGAUUUCUGCCCCAGCUUUCCCCCUACUCUCUAUCUCCCCCUGUAGUGCAUGGGGGGGAAGCUGGGUGGGGGUUUCGGUGUGACCGUUUGGGUCUUGUCAUGGAUAUACAGGUUGGGGGAACGCUUGAUGUCAUUCUCUCCCUCUAUGUAGCCCUGCACCACGCCAGCCUCAGCCCCCAAUUCAACAAUACAAAAUCACUACACUGCACACAAGGCGUUGUCAUCGCAGGUGCAGCCGAGAUUCGCCAGAAUAAAUGAACGCUUCCAGCUCAAGAUGUUUUUUUUUUCUUCUUCUCUUUCCUUUUUUCUUCCCUCCCUAUUCCUCUGAGUUGUUUCCAGGCAGGCAGGCAGGGCUUCAGUGUAGAAGGGGAACAGCAGGUCCAGAUCAGCCCCACACAUCACAGUGAAGCCCAGUCUUCUGGCUUCUUAAAACAGGUUUUUGUCAUCACAAACCACCUCGACCAGGGGGCAAUUUUAAUACCUAGCUUCUGAUGCCUGCCUCUCUGCCUGCCUGCCUGCCUCUCUGCUUGCCUCUCUGCCUGCCUCUCUAUCUUGCUGCCUCUCUUCCUGAUUCCUUGCCUUGCCUGCCUGUCUCCUUGGCUGUCUGCCUGCCUCUGUGCCUGCCUGCAUUUCUGCCUCUUUGCCCGCCUGCCUGUCCCUUGGCUCACUCCUAUAAACUGUGUAGGGUAGCCAAAAGAACAGAACAGAGGAGGGUGUGAGAUUGUCAAUUUACCAAAAGUCUCUCCAUGUAUGUCCAUGAUUACACAGGAAGGCCUCUGAGCCCCCAUCCUGCGUGGCAUGGUUCUCUCCCCGGUCAGGUGGUAUUUUUGCUACAGGGCAAGGUGGAGGUGGAGGAGGAAGAAGGAGGUGGUGGUGUUGGGGGAGUGUACUGUAGCUGUAGCUGGUUUUCUCAGCUUGUUAUAGGCUGGAUCCCUUCCACACAAUGCCAGCCAGGCAUGAAGACCGCCGCUAACGAUUCACUCCUGGGCAUCUGGAAGUGUGAGAGCGGUGGCCUAGCCCGGAAUGCCACCCAUCUCGGGGCCUGGCUAAGAAAAACAAACACCAGUGGUCACAGAGAGGGGAUUUCCGGUUAGAGUCAUCUAAUACCUCCCAGGAAUCCCAGAUUUCCCUGAAUCCAGAGUGGAAGAGCCCAGGCCAUCAUAAGCCGCUCAGGAGCGCUGUAAUACCACUAUAAGUUCUACCUUUCUGCAUUACAGUCUGUCAGCUUAGCACCGCGCCUCCAUCUACCCCACACUGCCUCUUUGGUUACCUCACAUGAAGGAAAUAAGAGUAGAUCUCAAUAAACAGGACUGGAAAGAUCAAGUCAAUUGCCAUAAAUAACUAAAUUGGUCAAUUCUGCAUUUGCAUUUUAGAAUUUCUUGGCCAUUUAUAUCCCCCCCCACAAUUGCUUCCAUUGUGUUAAGUGGAGACGCAGUUGUCUGUCCCAGUAUGUCUAACUAACUCUAGGGCCAUGGCCCAGAGAUAAGGUUGGGUUUUAAGGAGGGUAUUUGUUCUUGUUCCCCCUCUCGGGGUCCUGAGACUGGGACUGUGGUGUGAAUUAGGUCGGACAACCGGAUUUAAGCGCUUAGACCCGGAGAGAGCCAGUGACAGCAGUCUGCUUGAUGUCUGAGACCCGAGGUGACCGGAUGAUCAUAGGAGAAAUGGGUCGGUGACCCAGGUAGCAAGUGGCCAUGUUGUAGGCCGGUGCCCUAAUUUAUUUCACCAAGUCCUUUGCAGUGCACACUCUUAGAAAAAAAAGGUGCUAUCUAGAACCUGAAAAGGUUCUUCGGCUGUCUCCAUAGGAGUAUCCUUUGAAGAACCCUUCUGGUUCCAGGUAGAACCCUUUCCACAGAGGGUUCUACAUGGAAUCCAAAAGAGUUCUACCUGGAACCAAAAAGGGUUCUCCUAUGGGGACAGCUGAAGAACCGUUUUGGAACACUUUUUUUGCCGUUAUUAGGCAGACACAUAAAAAUAACCUACGGAACUUCCUAUUGGCUGUUUAGAAAGUACAGAUUCCUUUGGUGGUGUUUGAUGCGCUUCGGCCCAAUUGCUUUUAUGAGCUCUUUAGGUUUCUGUGAUGAGAUAUCUGUGUGCAUUUGCAGACAGACCCAUUGGUUUGUUCAGAGCACAGUGUCCAAAGCAUGUCUCGUGUGCUAGAUGUGGCCCCGGCUGUUUACGAUCUCCUGGUCCUCCUGUUUUCCAGCAGAACACUAUAAUAUAGUGUAACAGGGGUCAACAUCCCACAGCUGGUUGGACUGGAGGAUGAUACUGUGCUGGUGGAAACAACACCUGACUCUGUACCACAGAUCAAGCAGUACCAGCACUUCAGCUUCGGUGCUCUGGAGCCUGGUGUUGUUGUCGCCAUGGACUGUUCGGACUCAGUGGGAACCAGGUUUCAGCUGCUGCGAAACGCUGACAUCCUUCCUCCCAUAGAUGGUCUGCCUAUACAAUCACCACCUGGACUUUACACAGACAAACGUAUCUUUUUGACAAGAUCAGGAAGUUUUAAGACGAAGAGGCUAUGGACGUCACAUGCCCUGCGCCAAAGUCAAGGGCAGGACAGAAACAGGCUCUACGAAUGUAGAUUCCCUUGUUCAUGCGUGGUUCGGAUGGACCAGUCAUCAGCACUAUCUGCAGUUCCUCUAUUCAAAUGACUCUCUCCUAACACACACGCCAUACGUUGCUGCUUCAAAAACAAAAAGAUAUCCUGCUGCUCAGCCACUUUACCCCUGAUUGUAUGCAUAUAACUACCUUGUCUAUCACUGAUAUUGAUAUUGUUCUUGUACAUACUGCGUAUUAUUUUAUUUAUAUUGAUGCCAUUUCUGAUAUUGCUACUAUACAAUUAACCAUUUGGCUGUACCGUUUACACCUUCUGUAGAGACCAAUCCACUUAGCAAGACUUAGCAGAAUAUUGAUAUAUAAAAUGAAUUUUGAUAUGUGUGGUCGUAACAUGAUUUUGUGACAUACCACAACAAUAUCAUGUGACCAUAUCAAGAGUCCACCACAUACAUAUAUGGCGCAUAAAUCUGUUUACGUACUGUUUAUGUACUGUAUGUACCUAUGCACCUCACUCAGGUUUCAACUCAGGUUGCAUGGCCUUAACUUAUGUAUGGAAUACUAUGUGAUAAGUGUGUGUGUAACAGUAUAUAAAAUAUGCUAAUGUACUGUUGUGAAGGCAUUUGGGCAGUGGUGUAAUGUACUUCAGUAAAAUACUACUUUUGUAUUUGGGGGUAUCUGUACAUUACUUUACUAUCUAUAUUUUUGGCAACUUUUACUUUACCUUCACCACAUUCCGGAAAAAAAAUGUACUUCUUACCCCAAACAUUUUCCCUGGCACCCAAAGUACUUCACACACUUAUCAAAAGAACAUCCCUGGUCAUCCCUUCUGCCUCACUAAACACAAAUGCUUUUUUGAAGUUAUGUCUGAGUGUUGGAGUGUGCACCUGCCUAUCCGUCAAUAAAAAAUAAAAACAAUUAGGCCAUCUGGUUUAAUAUAAGG